UGUGUGUGUGUGUGUGUGUGUGUGUGUGUAUGUAUGUAUGUAUGUCAGGAGACUGUCUGCAGUGUUUUGGUUGUAAUGUAGGUGGUGCGCGUGGUCGGGGGCAGGGCUACGUGGAGCUGGGCUGCAGCCAACCAGAAAUCAUGAACUGCAGUCGAACAGAGAGAGGAUUCAAACUCCGACUCUGCAUCACAACAUACAGCAAGUCCCUGGACCUGGUCUUGUCUCGAGGUUGUGCGACGUCUCGCCACUGUCAGCAGACAGAGCUUCCUGGAGUCUCGGUUGCUUGCUGUGAUUGGUCACUGUGUAAUGGCAGUUGGCAGUGGGCGGGGACAGUCACUGCUGUCAUCACCAGUUUCAUCACCAGCUGGUGGUUUCUUCAGCAGGGACUCACUGAGAACUGAUUCUGGAUCAAUUCUGGACCUCAGACUGAAGGAAGAGGAACAUGAGAAUCACAGAAAUUGUGACGGGACAAUGGACAGUGCCUGAUCCAUGAAGUCACUAAUUAGAAGUUAGACAC